CCCCCCGCACGCGGGAAUGGAAGGAGCUGGUAUGUCAAGUGACCAAGUCUGUCACGUCACGUGACGAGGAACUAGCCGUAAUGAAGCCUUGGGGGAAAAAGUCUAACUGGCGGAACUCCUGGGAACUGGGGCGAUGGGCUCUUAGUAUCGGAGGAUUGGAACCGUCUGAUUUUUACCUGAAAUUCCUUAGUCUCUCCUGUGUUGGGGAAAUGGUCACCUUGCCUUCAGGGACCUGGGCUUUCAGCUGUCCCUACCUGGCCCUGGUUGAUGGCGGCAUGCUGGGCAGUGCACGUGAAGACGCACAUGAGACCAGGACUUGCUGUGUUGCCCAGGCUGGUCUUGAACUCCUGGUCUUAAGCAAUCAUACUGCUUUGGCCACCCAAAGCACUGGGAUUACAGGCGUGAACCACCACACCCAGCUUUUAAAACCACAGUAUUUCUAGCACCCUGGGAUCCGUACAUUUCACCUGCACUGGGCCCAUACAUCCUCUAAGUCUGCUCCGACCGUCCUUAACUCUGUCCUCCUAGCCCUGCAGCAGUUCCCGGGACCUUGUGCCUCCUUCCGCGACGCCGCCUGCUCACCGGUGCCCUCGGGCAGGCUCAGGAUGUCCUCGCCCUGCACCCAGCGGUAGCACGGGAAGGCCACCUCCGCGCAGGCUCCAGGGCCCUGCACCGUGAUGCGGUCGCAGAACCACGCGUCGUCCACCAGCCAGUGGUGUUUGCGCAGCCUCACGAACUGCAGGAGCCCCAAGUCCUCUGCAACGUCAUGAUCAAACUCCUCCUCCUGUACAGGCCGGACCCAGGCCAGACUUAGUAGGAGGGACCCGACUGAGGCCGUUUCAAGGACGGAGCCGCGCUCCUGUGCAACCUCCGUUUCUCAGGGCCUCCAAAGACGGCAUCGCCUCGUUCCCGCCCCCGCACAACCUGCUUUUUGGGUCUCAGACGCCCGGAGUCAGGUGGAGGACGAGGGCCCGAAGCGCCUGGAGCUGAUGCUGGAGCAGCAUCGCCCACGUGGGUCCCAUUAACUGAGCUCUCCCCGCGCUGGUGCUUGGAGGAGCUUCAAGUCUGACCUCUGGCCUCAUACUUACAUUGGCUCUGGGUCACUGGGAGAAGGAGCUGGGGGCUGCUGGGACCAGGGGCGGGGAAGGGAGAUGGGGUUGAGCCCAGCCCGGGAUCCCAGCUCCGGACCGUGUCCCUGAUCUUGCCCACCUCAUCCCAACUUCGUGGAAGUCCCAGUCCGCGAGGUCGCGCUGUCACCUCGCCCCCAGACUCCCACCCUCCCGCCCUCCCGCCGCGAGCCCAGCUCGGCCCGGGGUCCCCGCUGCCCACGCUCGCCUCGCUCCCCGCGCUGACCUCGCCCCGCGCCGGCCGCAGCUGCAGCUCCAGCUCCGCCUCCCCGCGCGCCCCGACCAGCCAAAGCUGCACGCGAUUGUACGACCCGGAGAAGAGCCAGGCCCCGGUGGCCACGCGGAUGCGGUAGCGGCCCAUGGCGCCCCCCAGCAGCUUAGGCGAGGGGAGCCGGGUCCUGCGCGAUUCCCGGGACCGCCCAGGGCUGCCGGCGCCUUGGGGCCAGUUCCAACCUUUAAAGGACCGGUCUGCGGCCCCGCCCUCCUCGCAAGUUUUAGGCGCUCCCAAGUCCCCGCCCCAGACUAGCCCAAACCUGCGAGCAGAGCGGUAGAGCCGGCUGCGGGGACUGGCUGUGCCUCCUGGUCGGAGCGUAGCUGCAGGAUGAUAAAGGGGCCCGAGCCAGGAUGGAGUCUUGCUCUGUCGCCAGGCUGGAGUGAAGUGGUGCCAUCUCGGCUCUCUGCAACCUUCACCUCCUGGGUUCAAGCGAUUCUCCUGCCUCAGCCUCCUGAGUAGCUGGGACUACAGAGACAGGAUCUCACCAUGUUGCCGAGGCUGGUCUCUAACGCCUUGACUCAAGCAACCUGCCCACCUUGGCCUCCCAAAGUACUGGGAUUACAGGCAUGAGCCACUGCUCCCAGUUGGGGAUUAAAUUUCAACAUGACAUUUGAUGGAGACAAACAAAAAAAAAACCAUAUCAAAACCAUAGCAGUGACUAUAGUUAAUAAUAAUGUAUUGUAUACUGGAAAUUUGCUGAAGUAUUCUCAGCACAAUGGAAAAAAGAGACAGCAUCUCGCUAUGUUGCCCAGGAUGGCCUUGAAAUCCUGGCCUCAAGCCAUCUUCCUGCCUCAGCCUCCCAAGUAGCUGGGAUCACAGGGUUGUGGCAUCACACCUGGCUAUAUUCUUAACAUUAUUUUGUAACCGUUCCAGCCCCCAGAAAUUUCUCUCUGGCUGACUUGAUCCACAGCGCCUCCAUCGCUGUGUGCCUUGUGGAAAAUAUUACUUUAUCUUGGUUCUGUUUGGUAUAAUUGGGGAAAAUCUGUAUUCUUUUAUUAUGUAAAACAGCUUAUCUCUCAUUGUUUCAUCUCCUUUCCGAGCUCUGCUCUGCCAGCCCUCUUUCCAAACCCAAAAUGGCUCUUCAAGGUAUUUUGUAAAUAAUAAUGGGCCAUCUACUUCUUAACAUAAAUGAAUUAUUUUCUGAGGUCAAGUUCUCCGGUUUCACUGUUUUCACCAGUGUCUAUAAACUGAAAAAUGCAGAUUGACUCUCUUAAGA